ACUGUGCAGAGCUGCGGCCCUCCAAGAAUUGAGUUUGACAGCCCUGACCUAAAGAGUUGCAAUUGGUUGUCAUAAAAGACAAAUGCCCAAAAACCAUUGACACUAUCCUUCAAGCUUUUGAAUUUGGGGAACCAUUUUAGUGUCCAGAAAACCAAUUAAGGCCAAUUCAGAACUGACGAAUGGCCAAAAAGUCUAUUGAAAGUCUUCACAUUAUACCAGUUUGAGUGGUUGAACCUAUUUUGGUGGCCAGAAACUGGCCAGAUUUCUAAACUGUGGGGAAAAUGUCAGAAUUCUGACCUGAAAAAUUGCAAAUCCCUUAUUUGUUUUUAUCCUACAUGUUGCUGGGAUCAGCUUCCAAAGAUUUCAGACCUACCUUGGAUGCAAAUCAGCCAAUACUUAUUAGCAUGCUAAUUUGAAAGAGUCUCUUGCUAUGGGCUUCUUUACACCAUCUGUUUUUCGGCGGCUGUUUUUGACGUUGUUGUUUAUUAGUCGUAUCUGGUCUGAAUUUAUUGGUUUAAUUUAAAGCCGUCAUCUUAAUUGCUUUUGUGCCAGAUAAAUAGUGUUGUGACUGCAUAAAGAGAUUAGAUUCUCUGAUUAUGUCAUCCACGAUGACACCGCUCCAAUCGGUAGCUUCAGUCAUUAGCUACAACUUGCAAUGCUCAGUUGCAUAUCUAGUUGUCAGAAAUGUUAUAACCACCAUAAUUAUGCAUGAUGUAUCUGUUUAUUGUUGCAUUUAAUACUAGUUUAGUUUGAUAUCUACAUAUUAAUAGCAUUUAGUUUGUCCAUUGUUUCCACUUAUAACCGUAACUUUGGUCCUAAAUCUUCAUCUAUCUGCAAUCAGUAAAUAAUAAUUGGUCUCUAACGUGCUUAUACUCAAGCCGACGACUGCAUUUAUAAGCCCUUUGAUGCCUAAGCAAACAAAUCACUCAUCUUUGUUUACAUUUAUGACUCUGUAAAUCUGAUUUGUGUGUGAUAGCCUGUAGCCUGAAGUGAUUAAUCUUUAUUGCUGAUGCUUGUAAAUUUGAUAAUGGGGCCAGCGAGGCAAGACAGUGUUGUCUGUGUAUAAUUGUGGCCUCUCUCUGUCUUUUAUCCCCAUUGAUGCCUCAUUGCAUCAUCAGUUUUUAUUAGCGUGUGCUCGGAUUUGUUUAUAUCUUAAGUGUUCUGUAUCAUCUCUAGUCCUGGGUGAUGUCAGACUAAUUGGUUAUAUGGAUUAAUGCUGGUAAGUUCAGAUGCUGUUUUGAUGAUUUCUAAAUGAUCUUGUAAUUGUGAUUUAUUACUUUCUUGAUGAUAAAUUAUAUAAUACAGAAUAAAAUAAAUGUUAUAUUUGUGGUUAAUAGGGCAUCAAUGUGUGGAUGUCUAAUGGACGUCAGGGUUUGUCAUCAAGGUGCUGUAAAGAUAAUAUGCAGGGACCCUAAACAACACACAGUGCGCUGCGGGAUCAUCCAAUGGUUAUGAUCACGUGUCGCAGGGUCUGAAGCGUUUGAGACGUGGACUCAUCAAUCACAGGCCCACGUGCAGUCCCAAACCCGCCGCGAGCUUCAGAAGAUGUGCUGCUAUGUUUGUUUUUCCACUUCAAGAGAGCAUUUCAGGCUGAACUGGAGGAACUUCCAUGUAAACAAUGGACAUGUGAACAUCGGAUGCACAGAAAGAAGACUGGCUCCAGCUGAUAGAAAGGCAACAGUAAC